AUUCAUUUUUGCAGAAAUUGGAAGAAAACAAGUAUCGCCAAAAGAAAAGUGUAUCAGAAAGAUUCACUUCUAUGAAUAGCUUGUACAAACAUCCAGAUGCUAGAGCAAGUACUUGUACUCAAUGAUUCCUACAGUUCUAUACCUUGGUUUCUGAGGUUCAAUUACCUGGUUGGAGAGGGAACUUAUGUCGCUUCCACUGCCCGAAGCCAUGACAAAGAUU